CCAAGAUUACUCCACUGCGUUCCAGCCUGGGCGACAGACUGAGAUUCCACUUCAAAAAAAAGAAAGAAAGAAAGAAAGUUAAUUGAAGGGAAAAAAAGCAAAUUCUGGGCCAGAUGUCCUGCUUAUGUCAUUAAGAUUUUUAUUCCCGUGACAUACUGAAGACACCCAUUACUCCAUCUCCACCAGACAAAACAGAUGAGCCUCCAAACAAGGUGCAGUGGCUCACACCUGUCAUCUCACCACUUUGGGAAGCUGAGGUAGGAGGAUCACUUGAGUCCAAGGAGCUCCAGACCAGCCUUGGCACACACAAAAAAUGAAAAAUUAGCUGGUUGUAGUGGCUCACACCAGUAGCCCCAGCUACUUGGGAGGCUGAGUGAGUCGUGAAUGUUCCAUUGCAUUUCAGCCUGGGCAACAGAGCAAGACCUUG
rnacentral:lncRNA from 1 species